CAGUCGCGCGGUAAUACGUAGGGUGCAAGCGUUAAUCGGAUUUACUGGGCGUAAAGCGUGCGUAGGCGGCUUUUUAAGUCGGAUGUGAAAUCCCUGAGCUUAACUUAGGAAUUGCAUUCGAUACUGGGAAGCUAGAGUAUGGGAGAGGAUGGUAGAAUUCCAGGUGUAGCGGUGAAAUGCGUAGAGAUCUGGAGGAAUACCGAUGGCGAAGGCAGCCAUCUGGCCUAAUACUGACGCUGAGGUACGAAAGCAUGGGGAGCAAACAGGAUUAGAUACCCCCGUAGUCCCUGUCUCUUAUACA
rnacentral:rRNA from 1 species